rnacentral:tRNA from 1 species
UGGCCUAGUGGUUAAAGCACUCAGCUGCUAACUGAUAGGUCGGUGGUUCAAACCCACU